ACGUCUUGCGACUUGCAGAAUCCAGUGAAUCAUCAAAACUUUGAACGCAUCUUGCGCUUCCGGGAGUUCCCUGGGAGCAUGCUUGUCGGAGUGUCUGUUG
rnacentral:rRNA from 1 species